rnacentral:rRNA from 1 species
CCCCGCUGACGAGCGGCGGACGGGUGAGUAAUGCAUAGGAAUCUGCCCGAUAGUGGGGGAUAACCUGGGGAAACCCAGGCUAAUACCGCAUACGUCCUACGGGAGAAAGGGGGCUUCGGCUCCCGCUAUCGGAUGAGCCUAUGUCGGAUUAGCUGGUUGGUGAGGUAAAGGCUCACCAAGGCGACGAUCCGUAGCUGGUCUGAGAGGAUGAUCAGCCACAUCGGGACUGAGACACGGCCCGAACUCCUACGGGAGGCAGCAGUGGGGAAUAUUGGACAAUGGGGGGAACCCUGAUCCAGCCAUGCCGCGUGUGUGAAGAAGGCCCUCGGGUUGUAAAGCACUUUCAGUGAGGAAGAACGCCUGGUGGUUAAUACCCAUCAGGAAAGACAUCACUCACAGAAGAAGCACCGGCUAACUCCGUGCCAGCAGCCGCGGUAAUACGGAGGGUGCGAGCGUUAAUCGGAAUUACUGGGCGUAAAGCGCGCGUAGGUGGCUUGAUAAGCCGGUUG